UCUCGCCAUCUUCCUCUCUCUAUCCGUAACUUUUGCUUUCGGUUAUCAUCAUUGUGUUCAACAAAUCAUGUGCUGAGCAUCGCCAAGAAUCAGGUAAAAACCCCUUAAGGAAGCCCUUCAUCAAAUUCCUUUGAUUAUUAAGAUGGAUUGCAGCUGGUUUAUUUGUUGAUUUUGAAAAGAAAAUUAGAUUUCAAACAUGCCCUAUUUUUUCUUUCAUGUUUGAUUUGAUUCUGGCAUCAUCCGUCGUCGUUGUUCGUCGGACCGGAGAUCCAUGACCUUGCCAUCAU
rnacentral:lncRNA from 1 species